ACGAAAGUCUGACCGAGCAACGCCGCGUGAGUGAAGAAGGUUUUCGGAUCGUAAAGCUCUGUUGUAAGUCAAGAACGUGUGUGAGAGUGGAAAGUUCACACAGUGACGGUAGCUUACCAGAAAGGGACGGCUAACUACGUGCCAGCAGCCGCGGUAAUACGUAGGUCCCGAGCGUUGUCCGGAUUUAUUGGGCGUAAGGGGAGCGCAGGCGGUCAGGAAAGUCUGGAGUAAAAGGCUAUGGCUCAACCAUAGUGUGCUCUGGAAACUGUCUGACUUGAGUGCAGAAGGGGAGAGUGGAAUUCCAUGUGUAGCGGUGAAAUGCGUAGAUAUAUGGAGGAACACCAGUGGCGAAAGCGGCUCUCUGGUCUGUCACUGACGCUGAGGCUCGAAAGCGUGGGUAGCGAACAGGAUUAGAUACCCUGGUAGUCCACGCCGUAAACGAUGAGUGCUAGGUGUUAGGCCCUUUCCGGGGCUUAGUGCCGGAGCUAACGCAAUAAGCACUCCGCCUGGGGAGUACGACCGCAAGGUUGAAACUCAAAGGAAUUGACGGGGGCCCGCACAAGCGGUG
rnacentral:rRNA from 1 species